UACGGAGGGGGCUAGCGUUGUUCGGAAUUACUGGGCGUAAAGCGCACGUAGGCGGCUUUGUAAGUUAGAGGUGAAAGCCCAGGGCUCAACCCUGGAAUUGCCUUUAAGACUGCAUCGCUUGAACAUCGGAGAGGUAAGUGGAAUUCCGAGUGUAGAGGUGAAAUUCGUAGAUAUUCGGAAGAACACCAGUGGCGAAGGCGGCUCACUGGACCGGCAUUGACGCUGAGGUGCGAAAGCGUGGGGGAGCAAACAGG
rnacentral:rRNA from 1 species